UGGGGAGUAUUGGACAAUGGGCGCAAGCCUGAUCCAGCCAUGCCGCGUGAAUGAUGAAGGCCUUAGGGUUGUAAAAUUCUUUCACCGGGGACGAUAAUGACGGUACCCGGAGAAGAAGCCCCGGCUAACUUCGUGCCAGCAGCCGCGGUAAUACGAAGGGGGCUAGCGUUGUUCGGAAUUACUGGGCGUAAAGCGCACGUAGGCGGAUCGAUUAGUUGGUGGUGAAAGCCCAGGGCUCAACCUUGGAACUGCCAUCAAUACUGUCGAUCUGGAGCAUAGUAGAGGUUAGUGGAAUUCCAAGUGUAGAGGUGAAAUUCGUAGAUAUUUGGAGGAACACCAGUGGCGAAGGCGACUGACUGGGCUAUUGCUGACGCUGAGGUGCGAAAGCGUGGGGAGCAAACA
rnacentral:rRNA from 1 species